UCCGUCUUUAGGCUUGGGGCUGGAGAGGAGAGCGCCCCGACUCGUCUCGCUCGUCGGGUAGAAACCCUAGCUUCGUAUAAACCCAACCCCCCCGCCUCGCCGGAGCGGCGGCAGCAGCCGGAGGCGCCGGCCGCCAUGGACGCGAUGCGGAAGCAGCUGGACGUGCUGAUGGGGGCCAACCGCAACGGCGACGUGCGGGAGGUCAACCGCAAGUACUUCGACCGCGACGUCUGCCGCCUCUUCCUCGCCGGCCUCUGCCCCCACGACCUCUUCCAGCUCACGAAAAUGGAUCUCGGACCCUGCCCCAAGGUCCACUCGCUUCAGCUGCGGAAAGACUAUGAAGAGGUAAAAGCAAAGGGGUCGGAGAAUUUCGACAGGGAGCUCGAGGACAUGAUAGACAGGCUCAUCGUGGAGUGUGAGCGGAAAAUCCAGAGGGCGCUGAAGCGCCUCGCCGACGAGGAUGCCAAGGCUGCUAUCGCGAUAUCUGUGUCCGAGGUCACUCAGUCUGAAGAAGUUGCGCAGCUGUCAAAGGAAAUCAAGGAGAAGAUGAAAGAAGCUGAUAUCUUCGAUUUUGAAGGGAAGACUGAUGAUAAAAUCAAGACCAUGGAAUUGGUCGAAGAAUUAAGAUCUAAAAGGGCUGACCUGCAGGCUACCCUCUUGCUUGAUGCCUUUAACAAGGACCGAGCUGCAAUACCUCAACCUAUUCCACCUCCUCAAAUGGCAACACUGCCAGCACCUCCUCCUCCUGAUGCUCGUACUCAAGAACUGAUCAAUGAGAAGCUAAGUAAAGCUGAAGCCCUUGGUGAACAAGGGAUGGUAGAAGAAGCGCAGAAGGCUUUAGAAGAAGCAGAAGCUCUCAAAAAGUUGGCAGCGGCACGGCAGGAGCCAGUUGCUGAUCCUUCUAAAUACAGUGUUGCUGAUGUCCGAAUUACUGAUCAGAAGUUGCGCCUCUGUGACAUAUGUGGAGCAUUUUUGAGUGUCUAUGACAAUGAUCGACGUCUUGCUGACCAUUUUGGAGGGAAGCUACACUUGGGUUAUAUGUUGAUUCGUGAGAAACUGAAAGAACUCCAGGUGCUGAAUGUAAUGUCCCAUUUUCUGCUUUAAAGAGUUACUCUGUUUUGGGCCUUUUGGCAUCUGUGAGUUUUCUCAUCUCAAGGAAGAGCCUUCAGGUUCUUGCCUUCUCUAUAUGUUAAUUUUAUCUCACAUUGGAGGGCGCCAUGGUUGUUACGAUAGUCAUUACAGGAAUUAGUCAAUGUUGCAUAAGCGGAAUCUCAUGUGACAAUCGUCCUCCUUCCCAUGGCAACAACAGCUGCCAACUGUAUGUUGACAAAUGUAAGCAUAAGAGUGAGCAGAACAUGGUAUGGAGAAUCAUGUUUACUUAAUUGUGUCAGCUUUCUCAUAUAUACUGAUCAGAAGCUGGAGCUUGCUUUCUGCUUGGUGAUCCAUAUUUUGUAGAGCUGGUGAUAAAUAGUACCGGUUAAGUUACCCUGAAAGCGCACCCUUUUGCCAUCUUUUCCUGUAAGUUACAACCUGUUCAAUAUGCUGCCUGCUCCAUAAAUAUGUAAGUUGUCAUUGUCAGAAAAUCUCAACUGUAAUGUAUCCCUUGCCCUUUUCAUUCCGUCGUCGUAUGAAUCGAGCUAUCUCCACUCGGUAAGCAUCUCUAUAUUGUGAAUAAUGUUAUUCUAAAACCAUGUCAUAUUUGCCUUUUAGGAGGAGAGGACCAAAAAAAGGACCGAGAAACCUGAAGAUGACAGACGAUCAAGGGAAAACAGCAGGGACCGCAAUGGGCGGGCAUCCAGGGAUAG